UGUAACUGGCCUUGAAAAUCCAUUUUAAAAAUUUGAAAUUAACUGAAUUUCGAAUAUCCAGAACCUAUGUGUAUAGCCAAAUAAAAUUCCUAGUGUAUCACUUUGGCCAGCUGCUGGCUACGCAAAGGACAAAUAAUUGUUACGCCGAAACGGAGUGGCGCCCAUUGGAUUUCAUGACCCUGGCACGCUGAUUAAAUUCGUAAUUCAGAGCGCGGCGCUCCACGCUCAUUUAAAGCGCAUAAGGCCGUGAAAUGCGAGGAGCACAGGCCCACGAAAUGCAAUAUUUCUCUCUGUGCUGCCCACAAGAUACCUAAAAGAGGAACUAAAUUGAAUUUUUGGACCCUGUAUAGUAGUUUUAGUCGUGAACUGAUCGAUUCCCUUUGAAGACCCGCCCUGAACUGUGUUCAAUUUGUUGCGAGUUUGGAAUUGCUUGUCAAACACUGCGCUCGCUUACGGAUUCCUGAGGUCCUGAAAACAUGGCAGGCACCCAAGCAAACAGUCGCUUUCAUAUCAAGGGAGGCCGAAAACAAACAAGUACCAGGCCAGCUGGCAGGCUUUUGUUGCAGCUUUCCAAUGGAAAUGGAGGUGGAGAGUCCCGUUCUGCUCCUUGCCAUGCUUGUUUGCCUGGGACUCCCACUCCCCCCUCCUGUUGCUGUUUCGGUUUCCCACCAGCGUCCUUAUUGCACGGCUGCCAGCUCAUUGAAAGAUUUAUCAUUCACCAGAAAUAGCAGGUUCUCGGAAAGGAGUGGGUGGCCUGAGAGGAGACUGGCGCACUGAGAGAAAUGGUGUUUGCGAAAUGAGAAUUUAUUCUUGCAUUGAGGUCUCAGGAAUAAGAAGCAUUGCUUUAAAGAUGUCUAGUUCGCUAGUUCCUAAUUUUCAGCACUUUAACUUAACAGGGAACUGCGGACCU